rnacentral:tRNA from 1 species
GAUUAUUUAGUUUAAGUUAAAACAAAUGUUUUGAAAGCAUAGGAUAAGAAAAGUUCUUAAUAAUUG